rnacentral:rRNA from 1 species
GUGUCAGCAGCCGCGGUAAUACCAGCUCUCCGAGUGGUGGGGACGUUUAUUGGGCCUGAAGCAUCCGUAGCCAGCUGAGCAAGUCCCCAGUUAAAUCCAGCGAUUUAAUCGUUGGACUGCUGGGGAUACUGUCCGGCUAGGGGGUGGGAGAGGCCGACGGUAUUCCCGGGGUAGGGGUGAAAUCCUAUAAUCCCGGGAGGACCACCAGUGGCGAAGGCUGUUGGCUAGAACAUGCCCGACGGUGAGGGAUGAAAGCUGGGGGAGCGAACCGGAUUAGAUACCCGGGUAGUCCCAGCUGUAAACGAUGCAGGCUAGGUGUUAGGGCGGCCACGUGCCGCUCUAGUGCCGCAGGGAAGCUGUUAAGCCUGCCGCCUGGGGAGUACGGCCGCAAGGCUGAAACUUAAAUGAAUUGGCGGGG